rfam:Candidatus Woesebacteria bacterium RBG_16_36_11 RBG_16_scaffold_794, whole genome shotgun sequence.
GGCUGCGUAGCUCAGUGGUAGAGCAGACGUUUCAUAAGCGUAAGAUCAGAGGUUCGAUCCCUCUCGCAGCCA